rnacentral:rRNA from 1 species
UACGAAGGGGGCUAGCGUUGCUCGGAAUCACUGGGCGUAAAGGGUGCGUAGGCGGCUUCUUAAGUCUGGUGUGAAAUCCCCCGGCUCAACUGGGAGGGUGCGCCGGAUACUGAGGGGCUAGAGUGUGGGAGAGGAAAGUGGAAUUCCUGGUGUAGCGGUGAAAUGCGUAGAUAUUAGGAAGAACACCGGUGGCGAAGGCGGCCCACUGGUCCGGUACUGACGCUGAGGUGCGAAAGCGUGGGGAGCAAACAGG